UACGGAGGGAGCUAGCGUUAUUCGGAAUUACUGGGCGUAAAGCGUGCGCAGGCGGUGAUGUAAGACAGAUGUGAAAUCCCCGGGCUCAACCUGGGAACUGCAUUUGUGACUGCAUCGCUGGAGUGCGGCAGAGGGGGAUGGAAUUCCGCGUGUAGCAGUGAAAUGCGUAGAUAUGCGGAGGAACACCGAUGGCGAAGGCAAUCCCCUGGGCCUGCACUGACGCUCAUGCACGAAAGCGUGGGGAGCAAACAGG
rnacentral:rRNA from 1 species